AUCUGGCUGGCUCAGUCAGUAGAGCAUAGGACUCUUGAUCUUGGGGUUGUAGGUUCACAUCCCACAUUGGAUG
rnacentral:tRNA from 1 species